GGUUCUGUGGUCUAAUGGUUAUGACGUCUGCUUCACACCUAUGGUUAGGGAUUUUAUCGCUGAAGGCUCCCGGUUCAUCCCGGGCAGAAUCA